GCUUAACGCGAAGAACCUUACCAAGGCUUGACAUAUACGAGAACGCUGCAGAAAUGUAGAACUCUUUGGACACUCGUAUACAGGUGGUGCAUGGUUGUCGUCAGCUCGUGUCGUGAGAUGUUGGGUUAAGUCCCGCAACGAGCGCAACCCUCGUCGUAUGUCGCCAGCACGUAAUGGUGGGAACUCAUAUGAGACUGCCGGGGUCAACUCGGAGGAAGGUGGGGAUGAGGUCAAAUCAUCAUGCCCCUUAUGUCUUGGGCUUCACGCAUGCUACAAUGGCCGGUACAAAGGGCUGCAAUACCGCAAGGUGGAGCGAAUCCCAAAAAGCCAGUCUCAGUUCGGAUUGAGGUCUGCAACUCGACCUCAUGAAGUCGGAGUCGCUAGUAAUCGCAGAUCAGCAACGCUGCGGUGAAUACGUUCCCGGGUCUUGUACACACCG
rnacentral:rRNA from 1 species